ACCAUCCUCACGCCCUCUUCCUCUUCCACGCCCUAACACUGGAGGUUUCCUAUCUGCACGGCUUUUGGCUUCUUCCUGAACUUUAUCGAUAACCUCAUCUGGAACUCGCAAAUACUUGAUUGUAUUACCACGGAUAUAACAUUCAGGCAUUCGCCAAAACCGGUCACCAUCUUUUGAAGUGCAGAUGACUUCCCGAAGAUGAAUGUUCAUCCAUGUAUCACAAUUCACCAGAUGCCCGUUGUAAGUCUCCCCAUUCUUCA
rnacentral:misc_RNA from 1 species